AACGAACGCUGGCGGCAGGCUUAACACAUGCAAGUCGAACGCCCCGCAAGGGGAGUGGCAGACGGGUGAGUAACACGUGGGAACAUGCCCAAAGGUACGGAAUAUUCUCGGGAAACUGGGAGCAAUACCGUAUGUGCCCGAAAGGGGAAAGAUUUAUCGCCUUUGGAUUGGCCCGCGUCAGAUUAGGUAGUUGGGGGGGUAAUGGCCUACCAAGCCGACGAUCUGUAGCUGGUCUGAGAGGACGACCAGCCACACUGGGACUGAGACACGGCCCAGACUCCUACGGGAGGCAGCAGUGGGGAAUCUUGGACAAUGGGCGCAAGCCUGAUCCAGCCAUGCCGCGUGGAUGAUGAAGGCCCUAGGGUUGUAAAAUCCUUUCGUUGGGGACGAUAAUGACGGUACCCAAAGAAGAAGCUCCGGCUAACUUCGUGCCAGCAGCCGCGGUAAAAC
rnacentral:rRNA from 1 species